AUUAGCUCAAGUGGUAGAGCGCGCGCUUUGCAUGUGCGAGGUAACGGGAUCGAUGCCCGUAUUCUCCAAUACCAUUAUGUCAGUCACUACAUUAUUAUUAUA